GCCACUCCCCCUCCCCGCCUACCCUGGCGCUGGCGGCUGCUCGGCGUCCGGCCGCCCUCCAUGACUCCCCGUCCGCGUCCGGCCAUCCCAUCCCGUCUUCUCCCUCUUGGCCCCGCUCGCCCGUCACCCCGUCCUAGUGGCGUAGGAGUCGCCCAGGCCCGCAGCGAUGUCGCGCGGUCUGACGCGGAGGCGCACUGGCAGCGGGGAGCUAGGAGCAGCGCGGCGAGGCGGAGCCACGCGCGGGCCUCGGCGAGCGGGGAGGAGCGCGUCGAGGCGGAGGCACGUGCGGGCCUUGGCUUGCGAAGAAGGCGCCGCCGCCGUCUCCUCUCCCUCAGACCCUCAGCCUCUCUUCAGAUCCGCCUUCACCUCCAUCAUUUUCCCUUCACCGACAGCCGUUAGGUUUUUCCUCCGAUUCGUGAUGGUUAAUGGAUCUUUUCUAGAUCUUUUCCUAGACCCGUUAGAUCUAGUGGUUGCGCUUAAAUGGCUAAAGUUUCAUUCGAAUCCAUGAAGUUUUGAGAGAGUAAUUUUGAAUCGAAGUUUGGAAGCUUUUCCUGUGCUCCUGUUUGUUCUUCUGUGUGCAGGACUUGACCAAGUGCUCGCAGCGCGAGGAUGCGCGGUUGGCGACGCGAGUAGGCCAGCGACCCGCGCGCAGCGCUCGCGUGGUGAGCAGUCGGCCAAAGGCAGCGCACACGGCGCGCGGUGCGGUCAGCUGCGGCAGCGCACGAUGGGGGAGGUGCUGGGGCUGCGAGCACGCAACCCUAGGUGCUCCCGGCGCUCGCGGCAGGCGGAGGCAGCGGCGGCGCUAGCUUGCUUGGCGGAGCAGGCCGGCAGCAGCAGCUGGCCAUGAACAUCAUUCGUAGAUGAGCAGCUCGGCACAUUUCUUCUCGGUUCUGAUUGGUGUUGGCUGGCAGUUACUUGCUUUCAUUCAACAGUGCUACUUGCUUUGAAUAGAUGAACAAUAAUUGUUUAAUCUUUGCUUGCAUGCUUUGGUCAAUCAUCUGUGUAGUUAAUUAGCUAGCUAUCCAAAAUGAACCUGGGCUCAUGUAUAUGACCUGUUGAAUGUUGAGCUUAAUCUGUUGCUAGCUAGUUAGCUCGUGCUCUUUGCUCUGUCCUUUUGUUGAUUAAAUAUCAUAUGCUUUUUGUUGACAGUAGCUAUAGUUUGUGGCAGCUUGUGCAAUUCUUAGCUUCGCUCAUGCGCACUCAAUGCUGAAGCAUGCUUUUCUAUUGUCUGAGUAUGCACUAACCUGCCAAAUUUCUCAUCAGGUACUACGACACCAAGGUAGCAAAUGGGGCUUACGCUGUUGAAGGAUUCGAGUUGCAAUCACUUGGAGAGUUGGAGUAGAUGAAAAAAUCGCUGCAAGCCUACAUUGUGCUACAAAAGUGAUGGUCUAUGCCAUAACAUUUGUGGUGUAAUUAUUAUUUUUUCAAACUGUAAAUGUAAUUAUUCUAUGCACUUUAUGAAUAAUUGUAUUAAUCAAGGAGCAUUCUGAAAUUUUUACAAAUGGGCUUCCAAUUGUUA